UCACUUGAGGAUCUUGUUGAAAUGCAGAUUCUGAUCAGUAGGUCUGAAGGGAGGCUUGAGAUUCUGCAUUUCUCACAAGCUCCCAGGUACUGC
rnacentral:miRNA from 1 species